AGAGUUUGAUCCUGGCUCAGGAUGAACGCUGGCGGCGUGCUUAACACAUGCAAGUCGAACGAACCUUCGGGUUAGUGGCGGACGGGUGAGUAACGCGUGGGAAUCUGCCCUCAGGAGGGGGAUAACGGUUGGAAACGGCCGCUAAUACCCCAUAUGCCGAGAGGUGAAAUGAAUUUCGCCUGAGGAUGAGCCCGCGUCUGAUUAGCUAGUUGGUGAGGUAAGAGCUCACCAAGGCAUCGAUCAGUAGCUGGUCUGAGAGGAUGAUCAGCCACACUGGGACUGAGACACGGCCCAGACUCCUACGGGAGGCAGCAGUGGGGAAUUUUCCGCAAUGGGCGAAAGCCUGACGGAGCAACGCCGCGUGAGGGAUGAAGGCCUCUGGGCUGUAAACCUCUUUUAUCAAGGAAGAAGAUCUGACGGUACUUGAUGAAUAAGCCACGGCUAAUUCCGUGCCAGCAGCCGCGGUAAUACGGGAGUGGCAAGCGUUAUCCGGAAUUAUUGGGCGUAAAGCGUCCGCAGGCGGUUUUGUAAGUCUGUUGUUAAAGCGUGGAGCUUAACUCCAUUUCAGCAAUGGAAACUGCAAGACUAGAGUGUGGUAGGGGCAGAGGGAAUUCCCGGUGUAGCGGUGAAAUGCGUAGAUAUCGGGAAGAACACCAGUGGCGAAGGCGCUCUGCUGGGCCAUAACUGACGCUCAUGGACGAAAGCCAGGGGAGCGAAAGGGAUUAGAUACCCCUGUAGUCCUGGCCGUAAACGAUGAACGUGUCGGGGGAAUCGACCCCCUCGGUGUCGUAGCCAACGCGUUAAGUGUUCCGCCUGGGGAGUACGCACGCAAGUGUGAAACUCAAAGGAAUUGACGGGGGCCCGCACAAGCGGUGGAGUAUGUGGUUUAAUUCGAUGCAACGCGAAGAACCUUACCAGGGUUUGACAUCCUGCGAACCCCUUGGAAACGAGGGGGUGCCUUCGGGAGCGCAGAGACAGGUGGUGCAUGGCUGUCGUCAGCUCGUGUCGUGAGAUGUUGGGUUAAGUCCCGCAACGAGCGCAACCCACGUCGUUAGUUGCCAGCAUUUAGUUGGGCAAGAAAGACUGCCGGUGACAAACCGGAGGAAGGUGAGGAUGACGUCAAGUCAGCAUGCCCCUUAUGUCCUGGGCCACACACGUGCUACAAUGGUAAAGACAAAGAGUCGCCAAUUCGCGAGAAUGAGCUAAUCUCAUAAACUUUAUCUAAGUUCGGAUUGUAGGCUGCAACUCGCCUACAUGAAGUUGGAAUCGCUAGUAAUCGCAGGUCAGCUAUACUGCGGUGAAUUCGUUCCCGGGCCUUGUACACACCGCCCGUCACACCAUGGGAGCUGGUCAUGCCCGAAACCGUUUGCUUAACCUUUUGGAGAGCGACGUCUAAGGUAGGGCUAGUGACUGGGGUGAAGUCGUAACAAGGUAACC
rnacentral:rRNA from 1 species